GGGAACUGCGGCGGUCUCUCUUCCGGGACUCAGCCCACCUUUGUAAAACAGGGCAGUGAUUUUCAACCAGAGAUGAUGCCCCCUUCCCCAAGGGACACAUGCUCUACGAUGAUGAACGUGGAGCUUGAACC